UACCACCCUGAACGCGCCCGAUCUCAUCUGAUCUCGGAAGCUAAGCAGGGUCGGGCCCGGUUAGUACUUGGAUGGGAGAUCAUAAAACACUUUCUUUAUUGGCACAGGGAGAUGUUCCAGGCC
rnacentral:rRNA from 1 species